rnacentral:rRNA from 1 species
GACGGAGGAUGCAAGCGUUAUCCGGAAUGAUUGGGCGUAAAGCGUCCGCAGGUGGCAGUUCAAGUCUGCUGUCAAAGACCGGGGCUUAACUUCGGAAAGGCAGUGGAAACUGAACAGCUAGAGUAUGGUAGGGGCAGAGGGAAUUCCCGGUGUAGUGGUGAAAUGCGUAGAUAUCGGGAGGAACACCAGUGGCGAAGGCGACUACCUGGCCCAUUCUUGACGCUGAGGCGCGAAAGCUAGGGGAGCGAACGGG